GAGCGGCGAACGGGUGAGUAACACGUGGGUGAUCUGCCUCGUACUCUGGGAUAAGCCUGGGAAACUGGGUCUAAUACCGGAUAGGACCAUUGGAUGCAUGUCUGGUGGUGGAAAGAUUUAUCGGUGCGAGAUGGGCCCGCGGCCUAUCAGCUUGUUGGUGGGGUAAUGGCCUACCAAGGCGACGACGGGUAGCCGACCUGAGAGGGUGACCGGCCACACUGGGACUGAGACACGGCCCAGACUCCUACGGGAGGCAGCAGUGGGGAAUAUUGCACAAUGGGCGGAAGCCUGAUGCAGCGACGCCGCGUGAGGGAUGACGGCCUUCGGGUUGUAAACCUCUUUCGACAGGGACGAAGCGCAAGUGACGGUACCUGUAUAAGAAGCACCGGCCAACUACGUGCCAGCAGCCGCGGUAAUACGUAGGGUGCGAGCGUUGUCCGGAAUUACUGGGCGUAAAGAGCUUGUAGGCGGUUCGUCGCGUCGAUUGUGAAAACUUGCAGCUCAAC
rnacentral:rRNA from 1 species